rnacentral:rRNA from 1 species
UACAUGAGUGGCAAGCGUUAUCCGUAAUUAUUAGGCGUAAAGGAUGCGUAGAUUGUAAAAGUAGUUGUAGUUUACCAUAACGGAUAACCGGGUUAAUUUACAAUACCUUUUUACUAGAGUUUUUUUGAAGCAUACGACAUCUACAAAUUAGUGAUAAAAUACUUCGAGUUUGUAGGUAUCCUCAAAGGUGCAAACAGUAUGCUUUUUUAAACUGACAUUGAAGCAUGAAAGCGUGGGGAUCAAACAGG